AUGCUAAUGUCUCGCCGCCCCGGCCUCGCCACCAGCACAACGCCCCUCCCCGUCCUCCUCGUGAUCGCCUUCCUCCUCGCCGUCUCCGCGGCCGCCGCGCCGCCGUCGCCGCGCCAGUUCUCCACCGUCGCCAUCUCCCACACCCGCAACAGCACGCUCGUCUGCGCGCUCAUCAUCGACAGGGUCAACGAGGAUGGCGGCGGCAACUCCAAGCUCCAGUGCAAGUCCAUGCCCGACGGCCGCCUCACCUCCUAUCCAUCGGCCGACAUCCCCUUCAACGCCAUCGCCGCCGGCAAGGACUUCCUCUGCGGCCUCAUGGCGCCCGUCGGCGGCCACGCCGCCAUGCGCUGGUGGUCCUUCUCCGAGGAGGAGGAGGCCAGGCGGUCUCGCCCAGUAGGCCGGCGCAUCUACUGGGGCCCCUCGCUCCGUUCCAUGUCCGCCGGCGGCCCGCACGUGUGCGGCCUCUCCGACGACCACGACCCCACCUGCUGGGAGUGGCCCGGCCUCGACCUGCCCAAGGGCCUCGACUUCUCCCUCAUCGCCCUCGGCCAGGACUUCCUCUGCGGCAUCGUGAAAGGCGACGACACCGCCAUGAGGUGCUACGGCGGCGCCAUGCCGUCGACGCCCCAGUUCACGGCCGACGGGGUUGAUGUCACGUUCCAGACGGUCGCAGCUGGGCGCCGCCACGCCUGUGCCGUGGACAGGAUGGGCGGCCUCGUGUGCUGGGGCGACGGGAACCCCACGCUCCGUCUCGACGAGCUGCCGGCCGACAUGAUGGCCAUGGCGCUCGGCCGCAACACCACGUGCAUACUCGCCGGGAACGGCACGGUCAGGUGCUGGGGCGUGAAGGUGCCGGAGGAGUACACGCACACCACCUUCGUCUCCAUCGAGGCCGACGGCGACACGGUGUGUGCCGUCAUGACGAGCAACUACUCCGUCGUCUGCUGGGGCAACGACGGCCGCUUCGACGGGAGGCACCUCGUCUACAACAACACCAUGCCGGGAGCCUGCGCCCCUAAGAGUAACUGCUCCUGCAACAUCGUACCCGACUCGGGGAGGCUUUGCGGCACCGGCGGCGGAUCGGGCGGCGAAGAACUCGCCGUGUGCAGCCCGUGCAAGCAGCCACUGAACGCGUCCAGGAUCGUCGUCAGCAAUGGGAGUACGGCCCGGCUUGGUGACCAGGGUGGUGAUGCGAAGAAGAAGAAGACGCUCUUCGUGGGGCUCGGCGUGGCCAGCGCCGGCGUCUUGGUGAUCAUCGUAGCAGGGCUGGCGUUCUACGUGCUGGCGUCCAGGAAGUCGGAGAAGAAGGCGCACGCCACCGUCCGGCUCGGGGAGUCGUCGUCCAGGCGGCUCUGCCGCGACGGCGACGUGGAGAUCAUGGUCAUGCCGGCGCGGGAGCGCUCGGCUUCGCAGCCUGCGCGACCGCUCGGGUGCGAGGAGUUCACGCUCAAGGAUCUCUCGCGGCUGACGAACUCGUUCGCUGAGGAGGCCAAGAUCGGGAGCGGCAGCUUCGGGUCCGUGUACCGCGCGAAGCUCCCCGACGGGCGGGAGGUCGCCAUCAAGCGCGCCGAGCGCGCGUCCACCGGUGCGCGGCGGCGGCGGCGGUUCGACGCGGAGCGGGCGUUCCGGUCGGAGCUGAGGCUGCUGUCCCGCGUGAACCACCGCAACCUGGUGUCCCUCCUGGGCUUCUGCGAGGAGCGCGGCGAGCGCAUCCUCGUGUUCGAGUUCAUGCCACACGGCGCGCUCCACGACCACCUCCACGGCGAGGACGCCGGGUCCGGCCACUCCCCGCUCUUCUCGUCAUGGGAGGCGCGGCUCCGCGUGGCGCUGGACGCCGCCCGCGGCGUCGAGUACCUGCAUUGCUACGCCGUGCCGCCCAUCAUCCACCGCGACAUCAAGCCGUCCAACAUCCUGCUCGACGACGACUGGACGGCGAAAGUCUCCGACUUCGGCCUCUCCCUCGUGAGCGGCGCGUCGGCGUCGGCGAGCCCGACGACGACGUCGGGGACGGCCGGCACGGUGGGGUACAUGGACCCGGAGUACUACCGUCUCCAGGAGCUGACGGAGCGGAGCGACGUGUACAGCUUCGGCGUGGUGCUGCUGGAGCUGGUGACCGGAAGGAAGGCGAUCCACCGGGACCAGAGCCAGGAAGGGAGCGGGUCGCCGAGGAACGUGAUCGAGUUCGCGGUGCCGGCCGUGGAGGCCGGACACAUCGACAAGAUCCUCGACAGCCGGGUGCCCGCGCCUCGUGGGCACGAGGUGGAGGCGGUGGCGCGCGUGGCCAAGAUCGGCGCCGAGUGCGUCCGGCCGCGCGGGCGCGGGCGGCCGGUGAUGUCGGAGGUGGUGGCGGAGCUGGAGUGGGCCGUGACGCUGUGCGAAGAGUGCGUGGUCCGGUCGGCGAGCGGCGGGCGGAACAGCAGCUCCCGGAACGGCGGCUCCGACAUGUCGCGGUCGAGGUCGAGAUCGGAGUCGGAGGACCGGAGCCCGUACCAUACGCGCGAGUUCAGCUUCGGGUCGGGCCGGGUCGCCGCAGUCGGACAUGCCAGGUCCUACUCAACCAUGUAA
rnacentral:rRNA from 1 species